AGCAACUUGAAAGAAAUGUGUCAAAAGCUCACUACAAGCAGUCCCAGUUUGCAGCACGAUACGAUCCUAUAGAAAGUGAAAAGGUCCGCUCUUCUCUAGAGACUGAGGCAGAGGGUGAGACAAUCUCAAGCAGUCUCCAUGCCCAGCCGAGCCUGACAUGGGGCUCAAUCCCAGGACCCUGAGAUCAUGACCUGGGCCCAAAUCAAGAGUCAGAUGCUCAACCAACUGAUCCACCCAGGGACCCCUCCCUGAUGUACUUUCUGAUGUACAAGUUAACUCACAAAGGUAAAGGUUUCCAUGCUAAUUCAAACUGUG
rnacentral:lncRNA from 1 species